rnacentral:lncRNA from 10 species
GGCGACACCCACUCUGCUCCAUGAGUCCCAAGCCCAAGACACAGAUUUGGCUUCAAAAUUGAAGAUCUAGAUUCCAUGUCCAGAGAAAGAGAGAACCUGAUGAGUCUUGAGAACAAGACCAGGGACAAGAUCUCUGAGCUGGAGUUCAAGGUCAACAGCCCACUUUGGUUAACAAGAGGCACCUCCUGGCUGUCCAGUGCUUCCUCGUGGAGGAGUCAACUGCUUCUCUUGGGAGGUGGAGGGUGUUCCCAUCCAAGUGCCUCCUCAGGCCCUAGAGAGUCAGGGAUUGGUUGCAGUUCCUGAAGUCUCUUCCUAGGUCUGUGGACCUUCUAAGGAAUUCCACUGACCACUUUCCCCACUGGAGUCCAGCAACACCAUUAGGAUGUGAAUUAUUAUUAUUAUUAUUAUGUCUUGGAGACAGGAUCUUGCUCUGUCUCCCAGCCUGGAGUACAGUAAUGCCAUCAUAGCUCGCUGCAGCUUUGACUUUCUGGACUUGAGCGAUCCUCCCACUCUGAGUAGUGGGGACUGCAGGUGUGUGCCACCAUGUUUGGCUAAUUUAAAAAUUUUUUUGUAGAGAUGGGAUCUUGCUGUGUUGCCCAGGCUGGUCUUGAAUUCCUGACCUCAAGUGAUUUUCCCGCCUUGAGCUCCCAAAGUGCUGGGAUUACAGGCGUGAGCCACUGUGCCUGGUGGGUUGUGAAGUUUGUUCAUUGAUGUCUCCC